rnacentral:antisense_RNA from 1 species
CUUGAUUGCGCCGAGCCGCAGCGGGGUCGCGCGGUCCUGGCCAUAAGUGGCGAGAAGGGCUUCGGCCUC